rnacentral:rRNA from 1 species
CAGGCUUAACACAUGCAAGUCGAGGGGCAUCAGGAAGAAAGCUUGCUUUCUUUGCUGGCGACCGGCGCACGGGUGAGUAACACGUAUCCAACCUGCCCUUUACUCGGGGAUAGCCUUUCGAAAGAAAGAUUAAUACCCGAUAGCAUAAUGAUUCCGCAUGGUUUCAUUAUUAAAGGAUUCCGGUAAAGGAUGGGGAUGCGUUCCAUUAGGUUGUUGGUGAGGUAACGGCCCACCAAGCCUUCGAUGGAUAGGGGUUCUGAGAGGAAGGUCCCCCACAUUGGAACUGAGACACGGUCCAAACUCCUACGGGAGGCAGCAGUGAGGAAUAUUGGUCAAUGGGCGCUAGCCUGAACCAGCCAAGUAGCGUGAAGGAUGAAGGCUCUAUGGGUCGUAAACUUCUUUUAUAUAAGAAUAAAGUGCAGUAUGUAUACUGUUUUGUAUGUAUUAUAUGAAUAAGGAUCGGCUAACUCCGUGCCAGCAGCCGCGGUAAUACGGAGGAUCCGAGCGUUAUCCGGAUUUAUUGGGUUUAAAGGGAGCGUAGGUGGACUGGUAAGUCAGUUGUGAAAGUUUGCGGCUCAACCGUAAAAUUGCAGUUGAUACUGGCGACCUUGAGUGCAACAGAGGUAGGCGGAAUUCGUGGUGUAGCGGUGAAAUGCUUAGAUAUCACGAAGGACUCCGAUUGCGAAGGCAGCUCACUGGACUGCAACUGACACUGAUGCUCGAAAGUGUGGGUAUCAAACAGGAUUAGAUACCCUGGUAGUCCACACAGUAAACGAUGAAUACUCGCUGUUUGCGAUAUACAGUAAGCGGCCAAGCGAAAGCAUUAAGUAUUCCACCUGGGGAGUACGCCGGCAACGGUGAAACUCAAAGGAAUUGACGGGGGCCCGCACAAGCGGAGGAACAUGUGGUUUAAUUCGAUGAUACGCGAGGAACCUUACCCGGGCUUAAAUUGCAGUGGAAUGAUGUGGAAACAUGUCAGUGAGCAAUCACCGCUGUGAAGGUGCUGCAUGGUUGUCGUCAGCUCGUGCCGUGAGGUGUCGGCUUAAGUGCCAUAACGAGCGCAACCCUUAUCUUUAGUUACUAACAGGUUAUGCUGAGGACUCUAGAGAGACUGCCGUCGUAAGAUGUGAGGAAGGUGGGGAUGACGUCAAAUCAGCACGGCCCUUACGUCCGGGGCUACACACGUGUUACAAUGGGGGGUACAGAAGGCAGCUAGCGGGUGACCGCAUGCUAAUCCCAAAAUCCUCUCUCAGUUCGGAUCGAAGUCUGCAACCCGACUUCGUGAAGCUGGAUUCGCUAGUAAUCGCGCAUCAGCCACGGCGCGGUGAAUACGUUCCCGGGCCUUGUACACACCGCCCGUCAAGCCAUGGGAGCCGGGGGUACCUGAAGUACGUAACCGCAAGGAUCGUCCUAGGGUAAAACUGGUGACUGGGGCUAA